rnacentral:rRNA from 1 species
GUGGGGAAUCUUAGACAAUGGGCGCAAGCCUGAUCUAGCCAUGCCGCGUGAGCGAUGAAGGCCUUAGGGUUGUAAAGCUCUUUCAGCUGGGAAGAUAAUGACGGUACCAGCAGAAGAAGCCCCGGCUAACUCCGUGCCAGCAGCCGCGGUAAUACGGAGGGGGCUAGCGUUGUUCGGAAUUACUGGGCGUAAAGCGCACGUAGGCGGAUCAGAAAGUCAGAGGUGAAAUCCCAGGGCUCAACCUUGGAACUGCCUUUGAAACUCCCAGUCUUGAGUUCGAGAGAGGUGAGUGGAAUUCCGAGUGUAGAGGUGAAAUUCGUAGAUAUUCGGAGGAACACCAGUGGCGAAGGCGGCUCACUGGCUCGAUACUGACGCUGAGGUGCGAAAGCGUGGGGAGCAAACAGGAUUAGAAACCCUUGUAGUCC